rnacentral:rRNA from 1 species
UACGAAGGGUGCAAACGUUGCUCGGAAUUAUUGGGCGUAAAGCGCGCGUAGGCGGCUUGGCAAGUCGGAUGUGAAAUCCCUCGGCUCAACCAAGGAAGUGCAUCCGAAACUGCCGAGCUUGAGUACUUAAGAGGAUCGCGGAAUUCCCGGUGUAGCGGUGAAAUGCGUAGAGAUCGGGAAGAACACCAGUGGCGAAAGCGCUCUACUGGGCCAUAACUGACACUGAGGGACGAAAGCUAGGGGAGCGAAAGGG